rnacentral:rRNA from 1 species
GAUGAACGCUGGCGGCGUGCCUAAUACAUGCAAGUCGAGCGAACGGACGAGAAGCUUGCUUCUCUGACGUUAGCGGCGGACGGGUGAGUAACACGUGGAUACCCUACCUAUCAGACUGGGAUCAUUUCGUGACACCGGAGCUAAUACCGGAUGAUAUUCUGCACCGCAUUGUUCAAAAGUGAAAUACGGUCUUGCUGGCACUUUUGGCUGGAUCCGCGCUUAAUUAGCUUGUUGGUGAGGUACUGGCUUCCCAAGGCAACGAGGGGUAGCCGGCCUGAGAGGUUGACCGGCGACAUGGCUCCUGAGAUACGCAGCAGACUGCUACGUGCGGCAGUGGUCGGAAAUCUGGCGGAAUGAGCGGAAGCGUGAGGUAGCAACGCCGCGUGCGUAAUGACGUCUUUUGGGGUGUAAACCGCUUUCGCAUGUGACGAAGAGUGCGUGACGGUAAUUAGUAAAGAAGCACCGGCUAACUACGUG